ACGGAGACCUACGCACCGUCCUUGACUGCGGAAAGAAUCGCCCCCAUUUGGUUCGUCUCGCAGUCGCCGCCCCCUCCUCACCCUUGCCUUCCCCACCAUGGUCAGGGUCGUCCUCGAGCCGACGCUUUGGCUAAACCUCACGGUCAUCCUCCUCUGCCGUUUACUGACCUCAAUCAUGGAUCCUGAUCCCUGACACUGCGUUCCCAUCAUGCCCUUCCUUAUUCCUCUUUCACCCACCCCCUGACAUGAGAGAGGAACAUGCACCUCGAUGCGAAGGAUGGGGAGUGGAGCAUGGUGUAGCAGAAUCCCUGACUGCCGGAUCCUUAGAAGCCUGACCGCGAGAUCCACAGCACAACAGCCGUCUCCGGUCCUGCUAGCUUCUGCCUGCCUCGCACGACCUUCCCUGAACCCAUCAACCAUUGUUGUGCCUGGCUGCCUGCGUCAACCAUGCAUGCAGGCCCCUGCUCACGGUUGAAUUUUCUAUGUUCACAAGAGACGAUGUCAGCUAGCUUCCUACCUUCUGCUCAGCUCUCAAUCUGACAAUCUCCUCGGCAUUGCAUCCAGACGUCAAGUUUGGAGAGAUGGGAUGGGGCUUUCCUCUGCUUUAAAAGGAUAGUUGCUGGCUGCAGUUACAACAACAUGAAGGCACCUCCAAGAGCAGCAUGAAGCAGAGUCAUUAAGUGAAAUCUUAUGCAUCUGUAGCUUAUACCAUAUUUGUUAGCUAUUGUUAAUUGUUUUAUUUUCGCAACCAUGGUGAACUGAAACCUUUUUGCAUAUGAGUAGAUUUUCAAAAGGUGAAAGAUGUAAUUUGCAUUGUGCAGGAAUUGUCUUGAAUUGAGGCUUAAAUAGUAUUCUUAUCACAAAGAAGGGUGUAAUAGGUACAGCUAAACCUUUUUGCUUGCCUACAGCACAAGGUACUGAUACUUAUUAUUAUAUUUGGUGUCUAUGCAAUGAUAUAGUCGUUUAUGCUUUGCAAAUCCUAUAGCUCUUGAUCAACUUAGAGUUCAUUAGUCUUUGCAAAUCUGAAUAACUGGUUAUAUAUUAAGCCAUCUUUAUGGAUAAACAAUGAUUCAUGCCUUUCCACACUAUUUAUAAGUCUACCCGUCCUUUCCAAACUAUUCAACAGUAUGGUUGCCGGCGGAUAGCCUUGCAAUUUCCAUUUGAUUGAACUUUGUUGUAUGAUUAAAAGGGGGCAAACAAACCUACACCCGAUAUAAUCAUCGGCCACUAUGACUACCCUAAUGGUAUAGUGUUGACAGCACAUACCAUCCACGCCUUCUCUACAGGCGCGGCGUUAGCGCGCCCACCAUCCUAGUUACUUACUAUAAGCACGCAGAAAUUUAUUUAAUUGAUAGAAAAUACCAAAUAUAUUCAAAUUUUUUUGAAACUUCUACAUGACAACUUCAAUGUUGUCCAGUACAUUUUAAAAGUGUAUUGGCUAUUUAAGAUACUAUUUUUUCAAGUUAUUUCACAAGAGUGCUUUAAAUAUACAGAAAAAAGAAAAAUAUCAAUCUGAGACAAAUAUGGGCUGUUUUUUUGCUCAGCCCAAUCGGUCCAAAUGUCCCUGACCAUCCAUCUCCAAUCCGAUGGUUAGCAUCACAUCUCCAUGAUAUAAAAUGAGUUGAAACCCUAGCUUCUCCUCUCUCACUCGUCCUCCUCCUCAAACUGCCGGCUACCCGGGAUACAGAUUGAGUGCCUUUGCUUCCUAAUGGCACGUUGUACCUUUGCUUCUAUAUCCAGCCAUCUAUUUCUAAUCUAACAUCUCCUGUCUUUCUUAAGAUAAAACUGAAUGCCUCCGCAUUUUUCAGCUAUUGUGGCCUAGCAAAUCCACAGUUUCAAAUAAUGAUAUCGUUUACUAUUAUUUGAGCAGCAUCCUUAGACUACUAGCUAGCAUGGAGAUUUAGCAUAAAAAGAGCCAACUAUACAAAGUGUGCUAGAGAUUAAAUAUAAAAUAAAGUUUGCAUUUUAAAUCAAUUGAAAUAAUACUCAUAGUACAACACUAAUAUAAGGCACUUUGAAUCACUUAAAUUGAUAUUCUGGCACAACAAAUGCUAAGGCUGGAUAACGAGCCAGCUCGGCUCGACGCGUUAAAAGCCCAAGGCUGUGUUUAGAUCACUAAAAAUUUUGGAUAAAAUUCACUAUAGCAAUUUUCAAUCGAAUAUUAGAUAGACUAAACAUAAUCUAAUUAUAAAACUAAUUACAUAGAUGGACGAGAAAUCACGAGAUGAAUCUAUUAAGUCUAAUUAAUCUGCCAUUAGAAGUUGUUUACUGUAGCACAACAUUGUCUAAUUAUGGUUCAAUUAGACUUAAAAGAUUCGUCUCGCUAUUUCAACAGGGGUUCAUAAUUAGUGGUCAAACGUUCGAAAUUACUGUAGUGUUGAAAAAAUUUUGGGAACUAAACGAGGUCUGAGCUGACUUGUUAAGCUCAUGAGCUGGGCUCAUCAAUUUUAUCCGAAUCAAUUCAGGCUGCAAAAACAACUAUCCAUAUCGAUUCACUCCGAGGAACCGAAGAAUCGAAUGCCCACCCUUGGAGCAGCAGCCGGGGAUCAGCGCAGCGCGGGAGCAGUGCGCGCCCCACUCACUGAGCCGGUUUCCCUGGUAAAAAAAGCUAGAUGGAUAAAGUUUUGCCUAUGGCCUAUACCAGCCUUUGGGUGAUUGAUAUACGGUGGAUUUGAUGCAAGAAGUUACAACGUGCCUUUAAGAAGCUAAGGCACUGAAUCUGUGCCCGGCUACCCGCGCCUCCUCAAAUCUGCUCGAGGCGAACUCCAAACCCUAAGAUCAUUCUCGGUGGGAGUUUCAUGGAGAAUUUCAUGACAUUAAAUACUAUCAAUUUUGCUGACAUGGCAAGGAAAGAGAAUGAUGGAGUUUUAUGAGAUGUGAGGAGAGUUUCAUCCCCAAAAAACUCAUCUGACACGGUUAUCUAGUUCUCAAUAUAGAUAUCUAGAUAUCUGUGCCCGUAAAACUCCCACGAAGACUGACCUUAACUCUUCUUCUCUUCCCCCAAAUCCGGCACCCGGCCUCCGCCUCCACCUCCUAGGCUCCUACCGCACCCGUCCUCGCCUCCCCCACCCCCUUCCCCAAACGGCUCAUCCCCGGCCACCGUCGCGCGUUGCCCCUCCCCUCCCCUCCCCUCCCUCCCUCCCUCUCUGGCCCCGCGAAACCCCGCCCCUGGUGUGGAGGCGGUGCGACGGUGGCCGACGCUGGCAUCGCUAAGCCCAGCGUCCCGCGUGGAGGUGGCGCGCGGGUGUCGCCCAGGGCCGGACCUCAGGAUGGACGGUCCGGGUGCUCAUGGAUCCAAGGGCGGGGGUGAGCUCCGGCCCCAUCGCAUGCAUUCAAGGGCUGCGGCGGCGGCAGCCUCCCUGAACAUCGAUUUCUCAAAGCACAUGGAGAAUGUCGUCCCCAUCCUCGGUGCAUCCAUGCUCGGUCCACCCCCCCUCCCACCGCGUUACCGGUCGUCGUGGUUGCUCCUGCCGUCCCGUGCGACCUUCUCCAACAACGUAGCAGAUCCAGAUCUGCUGGGGAGGUGCCACCAGCAAGUAGGCCGGGAACUGCGCCGUGAGCGGGGCGGUGGCCGCGGCUGCGCGAUGAGGCUAGAACUGCGCCGUGAGCAAGCCUGCAGAUGGGCGAGAGCUUCUUUCUUGUCAAUGCCUUUCCUUCUUCUCUGCUAAGUGCGUGAUCUAGCGACAGAGGGAGGCCAGCACGACACCAUCGCCUACAACCUAUUUGAGCAAAUACCAGAAAGGUAUGAUGCCUACUGAGACAGCCUAUUAAGUGGUGCCAGUUUGCUCCAGUCAUACUUCAUGCGUCGGUUACUUCUUUAUUGCACAAUCUUGAAUGCAAAUGUAAAAUAGUGAGGAAAUCAAAUGUAAAAAAGAAGCUCCAGCUCACUUCAUAUUUGUUUUGAGUUACUGUGAACCGGUUCCUUGAGUAGCUAUGUUUAUUUUGUUUGUGUGACGAUUGAUGAUUAGAUUAUCCUAGAUAAAGUUAAUCAUGAUUGCACUCUAGAAACCAAUCAAUGUGCAUACAAGUUUAUAGCUAAUUCUUUUCUUUUGAGCUGCUAUCAGUCCCUUGGUUAAUUCAGUUAGCUUAUGUUACAUGUGUCCCAUUACAAUAAGCAAUAUUUUUUUUUUGCUUUUUGAUUUGACUGCUCCCUGGAUUACUUUCUUUGACUUUGUUAAUGUUUCAUUUUUUUGACACUUUUUAUAUGUGAGAAAUAGCUUGCUUCUAGAUAUUGUUAAGCACUAUCUAAGUUUGCUUCAGAAAUACUUCUUUAUUAAUUAAGAUUGAUUCUUUGUUGACAAAAGUAAUGCAUCAGUUGUACUCACCACCAUGUGUGCUAUAUCAUGUGCCAACGACUUGUAAAAUCUUUAUUGUUCUGCAUAUGCCAGUUACAUUUCACUUUGGUGUGCGCAGCACGCUUUGAUCCAUGUACAGUCAUCUGGUGCAAUGUUCCCUGAUACAUCUUCUUGCAUACAAUUAAUCACUUCAUUUGCUGCAGUUUAAACUUGGAUUCCUGGAUCUGAUGCCACUGGUCUCUUGUUUGUGAAGAAUUGUAGAUCUCCAUCUCCACAUUCCGCCCCCUCUAUUCUAUGGUCUGCUUGGGCUCGUAGGUGGUUCUUUGGAAUGAAGGAAGGGAAAUACUGGGGAUAAUGCUCAGUCGAAGGUGUGAUUUUACGAACUUGGGUCAUCAAAUUGAAGUCCUUGCGUCCUUGCUCCAUUGUGGCUACAGGAAGAGAGAACACUAACAAAUGUGGUAUGGUCUGGAGGGAUGCCAUAUACUCUAGCAUUUUCUCAAACCUAUCAACCACCUGUACUCCAUGUACAUUCUGCUGCAGUGCAGUGAUCAUGUCCGUUCAUGAAAUUACACAGAAGGAUCUUCUGCUA